rnacentral:rRNA from 1 species
GAUGAACGCUAGCGGCAGGCCUAAUACAUGCAAGUCGAACGGGAUCAGGGAGCUUGCUCCCUGUGAGAGUGGCGCACGGGUGCGUAACACGUAUGCAACCUACCUUCAACUGGGGGAUAGCCUUCCGCAAGGAAGAUUAAUACCGCAUAACAUAAUUGAAUGGCAUCAUUUGAUUAUCAAACGUCAGGGUUGAAGAUGGGCAUGCGUCCGAUUAGCUAGUUGGUGUGGUAACGGCAGACCAAGGCGACGAUCGGUAUGGGAUCUGAGAGGAUGACCCCCCACAGUGGUACUGAUGCACGGAGCAGACUCCUAGGGGAAGCAGCAGUAAGGAAUAUUGGUCAAUGGACGCAAGUCUGAACCAGCCAUGCCGCGUGCAGGAAGACGGUCCUCUGGAUUGUAAACUGCUUUUGUUAGGGAAGGAACCCUCGGAUGCGUCCGGGGCUGACGGUACCUAAAGAAUAAGGAUCGGCUAACUCCGUGCCAGCAGCCGCGGUAACAC